rnacentral:rRNA from 1 species
UACGGGGGGGGCAAGCGUUGUUCGGAAUUACUGGGCGUAAAGAGCUCGUAGGUGGUUUGUCGCGUUGUCCGUGAAAACUCACAGCUCAACUGUGGGCGUGCGGGCGAUACGGGCAGACUGGAGUACUGCAGGGGAGACUGGAAUUCCUGUGUAGCGGUGGAAUGCGCAGAUAUCAGGAGGAACACCGGUGGCGAAAGGGCGGGGUCUCCUGGGGCAGUAACUGACGCUGAGGAGCGAAAAAAGCGUGGGGGG